CAAAAUGUUUUAAGCAAAAUUCAAGGGCAUCUUUAGGAUUCAUGAGAUCUUGAUCAACUAUUUCAUCAAUUAGAUUAACAUCCAUAGGUUGAUCAUAGAAAUCAUCGGAUUGUUUCCCUACAUGAAAUAUGUUGAGGUCGAUUGUCAUGUUGCCAAAUGUUAGCUUCAUUAAGCCAUUCCUACAAUUAAUCAACGCGUUGGAUGUAGCUAAAAAGGGUUGUCCUAGGAUUAUGGGAAUUUGAUUCUUCGGGUUCCUAACCGG
rnacentral:lncRNA from 1 species